AUCUAUAAAUAGACUAACACAAAAAUCAGAGAUGUUUCUUAUAAGUGGCAAACUGAACAUAAGUUCUCCUGUCCGUAAUGAAAGGAAGAGGAACAAAAACAUCAAGAAGGAAAAAUAGUCUGUUUUGAAGCUGCCUCCCACUACUCCUGUGAAUUUUGCUGGAAAGGUGGGGUGCUGAGAAGUUUCUGUGAAACAGAACCUUGCUUUCUUCAAUCCUCAGGCUUUCGGAGUUCCUGUAGUGUAGUUUUUUCAGUUGCAGAAUCUGGCAGUUAGUCUGAGUCCAGGCCUUGACACGCCUUGAGGCACCCAGCUGCAGCCGGGCUCAUGCAGGGAAACAGCACUGCACUUUAUUUGGUUUUGAAAAUUAAACCAAAAGGAGACUAUUCAGGGGGCUACUUGAUCGGGAAUUAAGUUCUCAAGUGACAUUAAAAUCAUCCUAUGAUCCGGAGGUGACUGAAAUAAAGAACCCACUUUAAACUGC